rnacentral:rRNA from 1 species
UUAAAUGGCCGCAGUAUUUUGACUGUGCAAAGGUAGCAUAAUCAUUAGUUUCUUAAUUAGAAGCUGGAAUGAAAGGUUGAACGAGAAAAUAACUGUCUCUUUAUAAAUUUAUUAGAAUUUUAUUUUUAAGUUAAAAAGCUUAAAUAUAUUUAAAAGACGAGAAGACCCUAUAGAGUUUUAUAUGAUUGAUUAUUAUUAAUAAUUUUAUAAUAAUAAUAAAAAUUUUAUAAUAAUUAAUUUUAUUUAAUUGGGGUGAUUAAAAAAUUUAUUGAACUUUUUUUUUAUUUAACAUUGAUUUUAUGAUUAAUUGAUCCAUUAUUUAUGAUUAAAAGAUUAAAUUACCUUAGGGAUAACAGCGUAAUUUCUUUUUAGAGUUCUAAUCGAUAAAGAAGUUUGCGACCUCGAUGUUGGAUUAAAAAUUAUUUUAGGUGUAGAAGCUUAAAUAUUAGGUCUGUUCGACCUUUAAAAUUUUACAUGAUCUGAGUUUAAACCGGUGUAAGCCAGGUUGGUUUCUAUCUUUAAAUUAUUAUAAUAUUUUAGUACGAAAGGACCAAGUAUUAGAAAAAAUUUUUUUAUACUGAAUAAUAAUAAAGG